rnacentral:lncRNA from 10 species
UUCGUGUUUCAAGAGAAUGCAGUGGGGCAUUUUAUUGAAAGGUAUUUUUUUUCUCAUCAUGUAAAAUAAAUUAACAUGGUGUUGCAUGGUUUCUAUAAAACACCCGUGCAUGUUCGAAUCAACUUUGCUUGUUACCUGAAUUAUUUUCUCUACACUUCUCCCCUCUGCUUAAUUCAUUUGCAAAAGACAGGACGUAAGGAAAACAUGCACCAGGUAAGAGACUAUUUCUAUUGAAGUCAGCGAGAGUUCUUUUAAUUUAUUGCCAGAACUCUGAAUAUCACACUGGUUUUGCUGAAAAAGAAAGUGAAAAUGUCUAACUAUGAACAAAGAAAGUACAGUUUUCUCACUAAAUUUACAUAUCAUGUAUUUGAACAUAAGUACAGGGAUUUGAUUUGGCAUGGACUCAGGGAGAGCUCCACGUAAGAAUAUUCUGAGUGGAUGUUCUGCCCUUCUCGUUCCUCCCAACCCCCUCCUAGGUGCAUGGUGUCUGACCCAAGGCAGAAGUAGAAGAACACCUGCUGGCCGUGGGCUGCCUCUGCCAUUCUGCUCAUCCAAAGUGAUAGAACCAAACCUGACUUUGGGCUGCUGUAACAAAGCACCACAGACUAAUUAACUUAAGCAGCAGGCAUUUCUUCUCUCACAGUUCUGGAGGCUGGAGUCCAGGAUGGAGGUGUCGGCAGGACUGAGCCUCUCUCCUUGGUUUGCAGAUAUCUUCCCUGUGCCUUCACAGUGUCAUCCCUCUGUGCCUGUCUGUGUCCUCAAGUUCCCUUGUUAUAAGGACACCAGUGGGAUUGGAUCAGGGCCUACUCUAAUGAUCUAAUUUUACCUUAAUUAACUUUUUAAAGACCUUAUCUCUAAAUGCAGCCACGCUCUGAGAUCUUGGGGGUUAGGGCUCCAACAGAUGGAUUUGGGGAACACAACGUAGCCCCUAACAUGCCAAACAAAAAGGAAGACACACUGGCAUGGGGACAGGAGGUGAGUGGGAAGAACUGGUGCUCCCGAGAGGGAGUGGGCUGGGAAAGGCAGAAGAGGUGACAGUGUGAAGCUGCUCCUUGGGGACUUCUGGGUCUACCCACGAGUGGAUGCCCUGCAGAAACUGAGAAGGGGAUGGGUGAGAGGACAAUUGGCUUCACAGAAUCCAGGGCCCCUCUAGCACCCUAAACACCAAACAAACAAUGAAGGACCAAGCGGGAGAUGCUGGCUGGCACCCUGACUGCGUGCUUCUGGCGUGCCCAUUAGGAGAGAGGAGAGCAGAGGAUCGUGCAAAGACACUUUUUUAUCACUGGGGGAACCAUGCAUUCACUGAGAAAUGAGUUGUUCUUCCAGAAUUCUGUCCUUGUGACAGGUAACAUAACUGUCAUGUGAGUAACAGACUUCAUCUUGGCAGAUGUGACACCACAUGGGAGCCCACAUGGUAUAAUAGUGCAGAUACCUAUAACGUGCGUAUUGGGAGUUUGUGAAGCAUAUAUACUGGGCAUGGCUGAAAUCCAGAGUUCAGUAAAAGAAAAAAAAAAGGGAGAGGGCAGGAAGUUAAUGGAAAAUGUGUAAUGUGAAUAUUGACCCAACAGACCUCUAAAAAUAUAAGCUCCAUUUCUUACCAAGGAAUUUUCUUUUCUCUUUGGAGAG